rnacentral:rRNA from 1 species
GACGAACGCUGGCGGCGUGCUUAACACAUGCAAGUCGAACGGAAAGGCCCUGCUUUUGUGGGGUGCUCGAGUGGCGAACGGGUGAGUAACACGUGAGUAACCUGCCCUUGACUUUGGGAUAACUUCAGGAAACUGGGGCUAAUACCGGAUAGGAGCUCCUGCUGCAUGGUGGGGGUUGGAAAGUUUCGGCGGUUGGGGAUGGACUCGCGGCUUAUCAGCUUGUUGGUGGGGUAGUGGCUUACCAAGGCUUUGACGGGUAGCCGGCCUGAGAGGGUGACCGGCCACAUUGGGACUGAGAUACGGCCCAGACUCCUACGGGAGGCAGCAGUGGGGAAUAUUGCACAAUGGGCGGAAGCCUGAUGCAGCAACGCCGCGUGCGGGAUGACGGCCUUCGGGUUGUAAACCGCUUUCGCCUGUGACGAAGCGUGAGUGACGGUAAUGGGUAAAGAAGCACCGGCUAACUACGUGCCAGCAGCCGCGGUGAUACGUAGGGUGCGAGCGUUGUCCGGAUUUAUUGGGCGUAAAGGGCUCGUAGGUGGUUGAUCGCGUCGGAAGUGUAAUCUUGGGGCUUAACCCUGAGCGUGCUUUCGAUACGGGUUGACUUGAGGAAGGUAGGGGAGAAUGGAAUUCCUGGUGGAGCGGUGGAAUGCGCAGAUAUCAGGAGGAACACCAGUGGCGAAGGCGGUUCUCUGGGCCUUUCCUGACGCUGAGGAGUGAAAGCGUGGGGAGCGAACAGGCUUAGAUACCCUGGUAGUCCACGCUGUAAACGGUGGGUACUAGGUGUGGGGUCCAUUCCACGGGUUCCGUGCCGUAGCUAACGCUUUAAGUACCCCGCCUGGGGAGUACGGCCGCAAGGCUAAAACUCAAAGGAAUUGACGGGGCCCCGCACAAGCGGCGGAGCAUGCGGAUUAAUUCGAUGCAACGCGUAGAACCUUACCUGGGUUUGACAUGGAUCGGGAGUGCUCAGAGAUGGGUGUGCCUCUUUUGGGGUCGGUUCACAGGUGGUGCAUGGCUGUCGUCAGCUCGUGUCGUGAGAUGUUGGGUUAAGUCCCGCAACGAGCGCAACCCUUGUUCACUGUUGCCAGCACGUUAUGGUGGGGACUCAGUGGAGACCGCCGGGGUCAACUCGGAGGAAGGUGGGGAUGACGUCAAGUCAUCAUGCCCCUUAUGUCCAGGGCUUCACGCAUGCUACAAUGGCUGGUACAGAGAGUGGCGAGCCUGUGAGGGUGAGCGAAUCUCGGAAAGCCGGUCUCAGUUCGGAUUGGGGUCUGCAACUCGACCUCAUGAAGUCGGAGUCGCUAGUAAUCGCAGAUCAGCAACGCUGCGGUGAAUACGCUCCCGGGGCU